CGCGCCACGGUCGGGUGCGGCGACGGUCGGCGCAGAGCUCAGCCCUCAACCACUCCCCCAGCUUGAUCUGCGAGGCGGCUCCCCACGUCUGACGCGUGGCAGCCGAAGCGGGUGUUACUCUGAUGGAGUCACAGAGUGGCACGGGGCACCCGGGGCAGAGAAUGAGGUCACAGAAGGAUGCCUCGAGUUUGGGAGGCCCCGGGGGCAGGCGGGAGUCAGACCAGGCCACCCGGCAGAGGAGGGACUCCCGGACGCGCCAGGGCCCAGGGCUUCGUUGGAACUUUGGAGGCGGCGGAGGGGAGAGCAGGUGGCAGGUGUGUGAUGUCCUCCUUCCCAUGAUAAUGAUGUCACCGAGCUGGCAGAGGCGGGUCAACACGAGGGAGGCAAAGACGCUGACAACCUACAGGCAAACUGGGGAAAUGUUUGCAGCCGAGUGAAAGUGACCAGCCUCCCAGAGGCUGGGAAGGUAGAAUAUUGCAGGGGGCGAAUGUAAGGCGCCCCCCCCCCCCCACCUGACCCUCAGCCCUUAGAAUUGCAGUUCCUCCCUGCCAGUAGCUCUCUUUCCCUUGCUCCCUCACUCCCUCCUUUCCUCAAAUGGAGCCUGCUGGGGUAAUGCUUGCACCCUUUUCGGUUUAAUAAAUAUUUAUCGAGGGGCACCUGGGUGGCUCAGUCGGUUGAGCGUCUGACUCUUGAUAUUGGCUCAGGUCAUGAUCCCAGGGUUGUUAGAUCGAGCCCGCGUCGGGCUCUGUGAUGAGCAGGGAGCCUGUGUGGAAUUCUCUCUCUCUCUCUCUCUCUCUCUCUCUCUCUCUCUCUCCUCUCUCUCUCCCCCCCCCCCCCCACUUUCUGUCUCUGUCUCUCUCUCAAAUAAUUAAAAAUAAAUGUUUAGUGAGCACCCAGUGUGUUCAGUGGAAUGCGAACUCUAAGGGACAGGAUCAUGGACACCCAGGGAGGGGAAGAGAUUUGCACCAAAGGAACACAACUUCCAUAGGCAUUAGGCAGAGCAGCAGCUGGAAGUGAUGACGAUGAAGAUUAUUAAGAUUAGGGGAAAGAGAAUCAUUCCAUUCACUUUCACUGGGAAAACCCCUUUUAAGUUUAUUUAAUAGCAACUCCCCCCAAGGGGAGGAAAAAUAGAACUCUGAACCCGAUUAUACCAGUCAGGAGUCAUGAUUGUAUGGUAGGCACUGUUUUAAUAUGUUUCCACAGACAAGAUGAUAGCAAGAAAGAAAAGGAAAAAAAAUAUCAGCGAAAGUGAAAUGUAAUUAAGGCUAAGAUAGAGAUAAUUUUGGAGAAAAAACCUUUUUCUUUGAAAACAACUUGCUUGCUUUUGUAAAAAUAAUAGCUAUUCAUUAUAAAAGUUAAAAAGAAAAAAUACAAAGAAAAGUGUCAAUUCCAGCCCAGAGAUUGCUUUUAUUUUAUUAUUUUAUGUUAUUUUAGUUUAGUUUAGUUUAUUGAGAGAGCGUGAGCUGAGGAGAGGGGCAGAGGGAAAGAGAGAAUCUUAAGUAGGCUCCACGCAGAGCCCGACUCGGAGCUCGAUCCCACCACCCUGGGAUCAUGACCUAAGCCAAGAUCAAGAGUUGGACGCUCGACCGUCUGAGCCACCCAGGCGCCCCCAUUGUUUGCAUUUUGAUGAAUAUUAUUACUUUGCACAUAGAUUUAUAUAUAGAUUGUUGUGGAUUUAUACAGUUUUCCGUAAAUGGAUUGUAUGGCACAUAUUAUAUAUGUUAUUUUGUAAUCAUUUCUCCCUCAACAUUAUCUUCGCUGGUAGAAAUGUUUCUAAGCAGAUAUUAUGUUUUCUGAAGACUGUGGACAACUAUUUUGACCUCUUUUGAUUUCGGAGGCUCUUUUAGAAACAGGUGUGAACCUCCAUGCCCAGGCUUCAGAAAGCCAAGAACACUGAGAAGAAUGACACUAACAAAUGUUGGACAGAGGAGCAAAGAGGGGCAAAGAUGACCGCCUGUUUCUUUAUAGAAAUGUAAAAUGUAACCAUCAGCAUAAACUGUAGCAAGGUAGGCAUAUUUACAUUGUUUGUAAAGAUACAGUUUCUUUUUGAAAAGUAAACCCUCCUGGUGUGUGUGGGGGUGGGGAAUAAACACGCUUGCAAAGGAUCAUCUUAGCUCUUUUUCUGACACUUAACAUAUAUUUUCCCAUUUAUUUCACUUAUUCCACAACUGUUUAUUGAGCU
ensembl:lncRNA